AUUUUAACUAAAAGACAACUUAAUUUUUCUCCAAAUUCCAAUUUUAACCAUCCCAAUUUUUACCAAUCCUAAUCAGUUACCCCUUUUUGACUUAGCAGUCAAAACCGUUUUCCCUACCCCAAAAUUGAACGUGUAUUUACUGAGGAGAGUACUCAACGCCAGCGCUCCUCCGGCAAAGUGAACAGCCGUCCAAACCAAAGGCCUUCUCGUUUACAGGUUCUAUCCGUCCAGCCUCUCCGCUGUUGCCAUCAUCCAUGGAGCCUUCGUCGUGCAGCAACCGAGCGGCCGUCGACGUGUAGGAGACACCCCAUCCCCGCCCAUGUUCCCCGCACCGGCGACGUCACCCAUCGCCGCCCGCGUCCUUCGUCGCCGCAAGGGCCAUCCGUGUCUCCCGCGCCGCCCGCAUCCCUGCUGAAGGCCCGGUCUUGCUGGCGUUCCAUCUCCCUGUUCGAUGCCUUCUCAGGCAUGAAUGUGGUCUGAGUUUGAUUUGCUGAGUACCAUUCAGAUGGGGAAAAAGAAAUUAGUAGAGACGCGCUGUUCUCCAUGCUAUAUCAACGGGAUGAUCACCCACCUGGAAAACAUUAAUGUCGUCGCGCAGCUAGCGGAGAUCGAUGCAAUUGGGUUCAGAUUCGUGAAGAGGAUUCCAAAAUGGGCAGUGAAGCAGAGAAUAAUGAUAAUACAACUAGUGAAGACAUACGAUGUGGACACAAAUACACUUAUAGUGGAUGUCAGUAACAUCCACGUUAAUUCUGAGUUUUGCCAUACCUGAAUUAAACAAGAAGAAUCCUGUGCAUCUGGCCAUCAAAGAACAGUUUAAGGAAAAAAAACACCCAGUUGCGCGACUUUGUAUAUGCCUGUCCCAUGGACAUUGAAGCAGAACGGGCAAAUUUUAGAAGGCACUUCAUCUUGGUGGUCCUCAAGAUGUUCCUAUGCCGCACGAGUCAACAGACCAUUUCGCCGUGGCACAUACCUCCUAUUCUCGAUGUCUCUGACCCCAACAAAUUCAAUUGGGCACAUAAUAAGACAUUCAAGUGGUUGGGGAGAGCAGUAGAAAAUUCAAAUCUAAGAAGCAUGAAACUUGUGGUGGUUGUCGCUCUGAUGCGAUUGCAGCAUGGACCACUCGAUCGCUGUCGAGAACCAGAACCAUGGACCACUCGACCGCUAAUGUCCUUGCCGAUGGUUGCAUCGGAGAUAGGGCAAAAGUGAGUGAGGAAUCAACAUCCAAAAAAUAAAGCCGAAAGAGGGAACACAAGGCUAGAGCGGCGCACAAGGAAAGCAAGGAUGGAUCUGUUAAAAGCAGGCACCGUAAAUCAUUAGAAAAACCGCCACCUAGGCCCGUUGAAACAAAAGAACCUGAUAGCCAUACAGCGCCACAAGAGGAGACUAGAAUAGGCACGCGCAAAAAGCUGCUCGUCGUCAGAGGCAAUUCCUGGAAAGGCAGCACAUCAGCAACUGAAGGCCCAACGUGCAAGGAGAGACCUGUAGUUGCCUCGAACUCCAACGAUGACGAUGAUGAGCCACUUGCACGAAGAGGGCGCCGACUGUUUCAAGACCACUGGAAUCCAAAUGGUGAGCAUGUAAAUGAGGAGGCCAGCCCGUCAGCUCCACCGGAGAUGGAUCCAGUUACACCAUCUACAGCACUUGUGAAAGUUACUGAUUACAAUUUUGACAGGCAAGUUCAAGAAAUAACCAUCUGUUUUAUAUGUCAAUUGGCCAUAUCUCAUUUUUUCUGUGAUUUGAAUCCGCUUACAACUAGUGUUAUCUUACUAUAGUUGCAUUCGAUGCAAAGACUUUGAUUUGAACUUCGUGCAGUGUCCAUAAAUUGAGGAAAUAUUGGUAAAGGUUGAACAGGAGGAACACAAGGCUGAUUAACAUGGAACCCCACUUUUGGCAGUUUCUGUUGCUAACUUAUGUGUCAAACUUACUUGGCAGUGUUGAAAAUCAAGCAUCUCAGGAUUUUGCUGCUCCUAGCAAUGGAGCUUCUGUUCAAGAUAUAGAGCUUUGAGGAAUGUGGAAUUCCUGCUAAGUUUGUUAUAAUAGAUGAUGGAUGGCAAUCUGUUGGUAUAGAUCCAAAUGGUAUUGUAUAGAAAGUUGAUAAUUAUACAAAGUCUUCAUUCAUGGAGGCCUUGGAGGGAGAAUUGACCCAAGUAAUCAGAAAAUUUUUUUGUCCUGAAUUUUAUAGAAUCAUUCUAUUUGAUCAGUGGGGUGCAAUUGACGACAUUGAAAAGCUAUGAGAAUACUUGGAGAUUCUAGAAUGGCAGGUAUUUGGAGGAUCAUAGGAAAGCACACUUGCUCUUGCUUACAACCAAGCUCACCCAGACAAGGUAUACUAAUUUGUUAUUAUUUAUCAUAUUUUUUUUGUGAAGAACCAAUUAGUAGGUCGGUAAUGUAUAAUUUUUUAUUCCCCAAAUAUUUUGUUGUUAAUCUCUUAAAAUAUCUUUUAAGUUUUACUGGCAUGAUCCUCAGGGGAAUUCUCCUCUUAAGGAAAGAAAGAGAUUGACUGAUUUUAUGAAGGUGGUGUUGUUGCAAUAUUCCGUGAUGGUUGGUAUAUAUAGAGCAUUCCUUUUUAUUUAUUUAUAUGGGAUUAUGUUUAAAUACCUCUAGCACAGUGAACUUUCAUUUCGAAGUGAAGACAAUUUUGACUUAUUUAAUAUAUGGAACUAUGUUGAAACUUUAUUUUAUGCCACUUUCAUUGCAUAUCAAAGAUUUCAAAUUUUCCAUUGAGAAAGUUUUGCUUUAAUGAUUUUACACACAUUGAUUCAAUCACAUGACAUGGUUGUUGUUUAAUGCAUGGUUAGUGUUUAAGGUGGUUGGACAAAUCAUUUUUUUAUUAUGGAUAUAGCACAUUGCUAUUUGGAUGGCAAUACUAAUGCUAUUGAAUUUUGUUCACAAGAUUCGUACCACCAUGUUCUAGCUGUCUUUACAUGCAAUCUCCAACAAGGUGAUCACCCCAGUCAACAUGGAAGCGGUUCUCUCCUAAUAUUAAUUGACGUUAAGUGUAUAUUGGGUCAAACAUGGUUUAUAAUAAAAAGCUUUUUUGAUAUGAUCUUGAAAAUGUAAGAUCAAUAAUAUUAUAUCCCAAGAUUAGGCUUGUCCUAAGAAUGCUAUCAAUUAUUAACCUUUGUUUUAGUAUUUAUAUUAACUUAUUAUUCCAUAUACAGGUUGAUUGUUUUUGUGUGAAGGUUGUGGUUGAAGCAUGUGAUUUUCAUUUUCAUUUUUAUUUUUGGUGUUGGUGUGUGGCAUUCAAUAGAUAGAUCGGUACCAAAAGAUGGAGAAGUCAAUGGCAGAAAUGUCAAUGGAUGAAAACGAGAUCAGUAUCACAAGUCAGGGAAAGGUUUUUGCUCAGAUUAUAUUGUUUGCUUCUUCAUUGGAAAGGUGUUCCAAUGAAAUUGUUUUCAAAGCAAUGGGUAGAGCCAUCAACAAAAGUGUAACAAUUUUUGGAGUUGAUCAACGUCUGUUCAUUUUGUAAUUGGCUGAGCUAGGCUAUCUUCAUACAUGAUACUUUGUUUUAUUCUGAUAAGUUCUUUAUAUUUUGUUUUUUUAUUUAUAUAUGUUGGAUUUGCUUCUGCAGCUGUGGGGUGAUCAAAUAAUAUACAGGAGAACACACAAAUUGAAUCCGCUAACAUCACUGGUACUUAAGAGCCUCUAGACGAAGGCCUCCUUUUAUGCAAUUUGGGAACCACAAGGCAUGUACUAUUUGAUAACAAUAACCCUUUCAUAGAAGGAAACAAUACAUCAUCUGUGGGUAUUGAUCACCAUUACCAGCUGACUAAGUGAAGGCAUCAAGUGAUUUUGAUUAUGGAGAGAGUUCACCAAAUGGCCGAAUUCAAGGUCGUGGUGGAUUAGGAAGAGGAAGGACCAGAGGUAUGUAUCAUGUUCUUGCAUUCAUUUUUGUAUUCCAUGUUAUGUUUAUAAUUAUAUCUUUGUAGGUUUUGGUGUCUCUUAGAUAAAUCAUUUGUUAAUUGUAAUGACCGAGUCCUUUAACUUAGUUACUUAGACCAUUAUAUUUUUCUUAUCUCAAUUUUUCAUUUUCAAUCUAUAGCUAAUGCCUUAGAUGUUAUGUAUAACACUUGAGAAAGUGAUGGCUAUAUGCAUAGAAUCUGGGGUUUUCAGGUACUAUUUGCAUAGAAUCUGGGAUUUUCAGGUACUCAUCAGUGCAUCUAGAUAACUUCUGCGUGUUUCAAUAUCCUUUUAUGUAACUUGUCCGCAACCAAUUAAUCACAUUAAAAGUUGGUAGGGAAACAUGUCAGAAUUUUUCCUUUAAAAAAACUGUGUUAGGAAGGGUAUGUGAAUUUAACAGGUUAACAGAAUGUUUAUUCUAUGAACAUAUUUGGUAUGGUUGUUACAUUUUCUUUCCGGUAUUAGUUUUAUUGCUGUCGAUUACGAGGAUGGAGAGGCUGGGAUCGCAACAUGGAAAAUGCUAGGGGUGAAGGGGCAGAGUAAGAGAAUGUGGUUUUUGUGGAUACAACCAAGAUGUACCUCUUUAUUGAUGUGACACUUAAUCCUUAUUGUUUUAUUUUUAUUUUUUCAUUUUAACUGGAUGGCAAGCAUUGUCAUUUUUUCCUUUUUU